rnacentral:rRNA from 1 species
UACAGAGACUGCAAGCGUUAUUCGGAUUCACUGGGCGCAAAGGGUGCGCAGGCGGCCAAGUGUGUGAGGCGUGAAAGCCCGGGGCUUAACCCCGGAAUUGCACCUCAAACUACAUGGCUAGAGCAUUGGAGAGGGUAGCGGAAUUCACGGUGUAGCAGUGAAAUGCGUAGAUAUCGUGAGGAACACCAGAGGCGAAGGCGGCUACCUGGACAAUUGCUGACGCUCAGGCACGAAAGCGUGGGGAGCAAACAGG